rnacentral:lncRNA from 1 species
CCUAGGUUGUUCUGAAUCUAAAUGGUUCAUCUCUUGCAGAAGAGCGGUUGGUUUAUUUCAGUGUUUGAGACCAGGUGCUCCCAAUGGAAACAAAAAAAUCCUUAAAAGUGGAAGAAGGUGGUAGGAAAGGUUAGAGUGAUACCAGGAGAACUCAAUCGACCACUACUAGCUUUGAAGCUGGAAGAAUGCGGCUUUGAGUCCUGGAGUGUGGACGGCCUGCAGAAGGAAGCAGGGGUUCCACACUGGCACCUCUAGAAAAUAAUGGAGCCCAGCGAGAGUCAAGUUGGACUUCUGACCUACGAAAGAGUAAGAUGAUGAAUUUAUAUUGUUUAAACCACAAAGUUGGUGGCAAUUUGUUAUAGGAGCAAUAGAAUAUCAAUACACUGUAGCCUCUGUGUGGGGGAUGAACUGGACCAUCUAAAAGUACGGGAAGUACAGUUAGGUUGUUCCUAUGAUUUUAUGAUUCAGGGAAAGUGGUGGUCUAGACAAUAGAGAACAGUGAAGAUGGUGGGAAGUGGUCAGAUUUGGGAUAUGUUUUCAAGUUGACAAAAAUUGUCUUGGGUAAUUCCCAGAAUUUUGAUCUAAGUUGUUGAAUUUGAACAAUUAGGUGAGUCGUGGUGCAUUUGCUGACAGGAAAAGACGGGAGCUAUGGUUUAGAUGAGAAAACUAAGAAUUCUGUUCUAGAAACUAGUUUGAGAUAUUUUUCAGAUACCCAAGUGGAGGCAUUGAUUAGGCAAUGAAGAUAAAUGACUAAAGCUCAGGAGAUGGGUCAGGGCUAGAAAUACCAAUUUGGAAUGGCAAAGCUACAAAAUAGAAGAGGCUUUUGCCUUAGAUGUUGUAAUGCCACCCUAAAAACCCCAUGACUUCUACUUGAAACGUUAUGUGAGAAGAAAGAAUGAUUUUGGAUUAUUUGUGGUCUUAUAGUUACUAAGCUGAUAAUCUAAUUUCCCAAACUGUUUAAUCACUUUAUAUUCAACGAAACUUGAAUUUCCAAAAUUGCUUAAAUCAAGCCCAGAGAACAGCAGUAUCUAGCUUAUUUUCUUGCAGACUCAGGGACAUAGCCAUGAAUAUUUCCUGAUGAUGUGUUCUUAUUAAACUUGCUGGGGUAAAUUGCGUGACAGAAACAACUGUGGUUUCAGUGGGUGCAGCCUUUAUCUGUGGUUGAAAAUGGCUCAUCACAAUGUUGACAUUUGGAACAGUCUGAUGAAAAAAGAGAGGAAAGGAUG